rnacentral:rRNA from 1 species
UACGUAGGGUGCGAGCGUUAAUCGGAAUUACUGGGCGUAAAGCGUGCGCAGGCGGCUUGCCAAGUCAGAUGUGAAAGCCCCGGGCUCAACCCGGGAACUGCGUUUGAAACUGGCAGGCUAGAGUUUGGCAGAGGGGGGUAGAAUUCCACGUGUAGCAGUGAAAUGCGUAGAUAUGUGGAGGAACACCGAUGGCGAAGGCAGCCCCCUGGGUCAAAACUGACGCUCAUGCACGAAAGCGUGGGGAGCAAACAGG